GGACAGCUGACUCAGCAGAGCAUAAGACUCUCAAUCUCAGGGCUGUGGGUUUGAGCCCCACGUUGGGCA